rnacentral:rRNA from 1 species
CACCGCCCGUCACACCAUGAAAGUCGGCUGUACCAGAAGUCGUCGUGCUAACCGCAAGGAGGCAGACGCCCAAGGUAUGGUCGAUGAUUGGGGUG